UAUUCCCUUUCUUACGUUCGCAAAAACUGUUUUCGGUUCGUGGGGUUAGCCCACUCCUACGCAUCCUCCGUUCCAAGUCCAAUCCCUGCGGUUUUCGCUUGCGUUAGCUGGCUUCCGGCGUGGUGGUCGACGGCUUAGUGAGCGGGCAGUGGGAAUGAUGGCGUGGUGGUCGAUGGAUUGGCUGGGCGUCCCUGGGGGUCGGCAGUUGACCACGGGUGCGCGACGGCCUGGUGCUCGGCGGCCACGGCGGCGGGGUGAGCGCGGCGCGGCCUUGAUGUUGGGAAGCGUGGCUUGUGGUGGUCGGCUGGCUGCAGCGGCAGUUCAGGUGGUCCUGGCGGCGGCACUAUGAGUAGUGCUCGCGGCGGAACUGGAUCAACCGUGACCACUUCGUUCCAUCCACCGGCCGGCUGCCACGGUUGCUUGCUCCAGUACGUGUUGGUGAGUUCAGUAUAGAUCUCUUCAAUGCCUCCUCUAUGGAUGGGUUGAUGCCUUGUAUUUCUUUUGCCCCCAAAUCCCUAAUUGGAUAGAGACCUCUAUUUAAACUCCGAGUCUGAAGUCCCACUCUAAUCAUUGUUAUGUUCUCUCUUCACUGUUUGAAAGUGGCAAUCUUCUGGCAAUUGGUUGCCUCUGACUUGUUGUUACAAAUUGUGUAUUGUUGUGUUCAUAGCCUGUUGCAUUUUGCACUAUGAUUGGAAUGUGAAAUAUUUGACGGCAUUGAACAGUUAGUCACUUGCCAUCUUAGACAUAGACAGUUCUGUUUUGGGCAAGUUGCUCACAGCAGACAGUUGUUUGAUUAAUUUUCUAACCUAAUUAAUACCAAUGGGAUUAUGUGAUGUGGAGGUAUCUUAUAUAUCUGCCAAGAGCUCGCCUCGGCAUCCUCACGAACUCGAGAUCCCGAGUAAGAGAGCUUUCCCCAAUGUGUGCAGCUAUUGCUCAGCAUGUAAAGAAGCUAAUUGUUGUUAAUACAAUCAAUAUUUUUGCUGAUUUUUUUGGGAGGGCAAAUCAUUACGGCGCUGAGCAGAUGUCCAAUUUGAUCUAUUGAAGUGGAUCACGGUUCCUCCUUUACUGAUGAAUGUCGCAUGUAGCCACUAGACUUGGACUCAAAUGGACGCCCUGCCAGGAGAGCACCGUGGAGAAGAGCGCCAAGGUGAAGGGGCAGUCCUUGCACAGAUUGGUGGCAGUUUCCGGGACCUGAAACACCCACAUAUCGUGUUUUGAUUUCUUGUUUGAAACUACUGGGCGUCCAUAUUACUAACACUUCACUAUCCAGUGAAGAAUGGAUGGACAACUCUAAUAUGAUUAAUGUCAUCUUCCUUGGGGCUUUUUUUUACCACUGCCAUAGACAAGUGUUUAUUUAGUUCAUGGUCAUAUUUAUUUAGUUCGUGGCUGAUGGGAGCAUGAGUACCUUUCAAACUACUGUUCCUCUUUUCGUCUUUAUAGUUUUUGUUGCUUACAUUUUGCCAUGCAUCUCUGUCAGAGAAACAUGACACAGAAGUCAGGAGGAGCAAUGAUAUGUGUACAUGUCAUUGUUGUCCAAGUUCUGGAACUUUUCCACUAAUCGUUGCUGAAACUAGGGUCAUCUAGACGAGGGGAUUGUAAAGGCUAACUAGAAAUACAUCUUUGAAGAAACUAUAGGGUCAUCCAGAUGGGGAUUUUGCAACCUCUAUACAAAUGCCUGCAGCUUGGCCAGACUAUUGCCCAUCUCAAGAUUGACUGGAGUGUUCUACUACAGAAAGAUAGUUUUUUUUUAGAUGCUACUUUGUCAAGCAGUGUAUUGAAUUUGUUGUAAAUUGACCUAGUUAUGAACUCACAUCAUCUUUGUUCAUUGUAAACCGACCUAGUUAUGUCAUGAAAUCCAAGUUUA